AUACGGAGGACGCGAGCGUUAUCCGGAUUCAUUGGGUUUAAAGGGUGCGCAGGCGGCCGUGCAAGUCAGCGGUGAAAGCCCGGGGCUCAACCCCGGAAGUGCCGUUGAUACUGCAUGGCUGGAAUGCGGUCGAGGCGGGCGGGAAGUGGCGUGUAGCGGGGAAAUGCGUAGAUAUGCCACAGAACGCCGAUGGCGGAGGCGGCUCGCCAGGCCUGCAUUGACGCUCGGGCACGAAAGCGUGGGGAUCGAACAGGAUUAGAUACCCUGGUAGUCCACGCCGUAAACGAUGGGCGCUCGUCGUCGGCGGCAGACAGUCGGCGGCCAAGCGAAAGCGAUAAGCGCCCCACCUGGGGAGUACGGUCGCAAGGCUGAAACUCAAAUGAAUUGACGGGG
rnacentral:rRNA from 1 species